AACGAACGCUGGCGGCAUGCCUAACACAUGCAAGUCGAACGAAGCCUUCGGGCUUAGUGGCGCACGGGUGCGUAACGCGUGGGAAUCUGCCCUUGGGUUCGGAAUAACAGUUAGAAAUGACUGCUAAUACCGAAUGAUGUCUUCGGACCAAAGAUUUAUCGCCCAAGGAUGAGCCCGCGUCGGAUUAGCUAGUUGGUGAGGUAAAGGCUCACCAAGGCGACGAUCCGUAGCUGGUCUGAGAGGAUGAUCAGCCACACUGGGACUGAGACACGGCCCAGACUCCUACGGGAGGCAGCAGUGGGGAAUAUUGGACAAUGGGCGAAAGCCUGAUCCAGCAAUGCCGCGUGAGUGAUGA
rnacentral:rRNA from 1 species